UACAGAGGGGGCAAGCGUUAUUCGGAAUUAUUGGGCGUAAAGGGCGCGUAGGCGGCGAUUCAAGUGACGGGUGAAAUCCCUCGGCUUAACCGUGGAACUGCCUGUCAGACUGGAUUGCUUGAGGCCGGGAGAGGCGAGUGGAAUUCCCAGUGUAGCGGUGAAAUGCGUAGAUAUUGGGAGGAACACCAGUGGCGAAGGCGGCUCGCUGGACCGGUUCUGACGCUGAGACGCGAAAGCGUGGGGAGCAAACAGG
rnacentral:rRNA from 1 species